CUAUGUGUAACAGCACACUAUGUUUAGUAAAUAACAGAAUCCGUCAGCCAUAUACAUUCGCCUUGGGUCAGACAGUGUGUGAAUGUGAUAGUCUCAAUGGUCCUCCCUCACGUCCCAAUAACUGUCACAUUCAUUCACUGUCUGACCCAAUAACUGUCACAUUCAUACACUGUCUGACCAAAUAACUCACAUUCAUACACCGUCUGACCCAAUAACUGUCACAUUCAUACACCGUCUGACCCAAUAACUGUCACAUUCAUACACCGUCUGACCCAAUAACUGUCACGUUCAUACACUGUCUGACCCAAUAACUGUCAC